GACGAACGCUGGCGGCGUGCUUAACACAUGCAAGUCGAACGGAAAGGCCCCUUCGGGGGUACUCGAGUGGCGAACGGGUGAGUAACACGUGAGUAACCUGCCCUUGACUUCGGGAUAACUUCAGGAAACUGGGGCUAAUACCGGAUAGGAAUCCUUGCUGCAUGGUGGGGGUUGGAAAGCUUCGGCGGUUUUGGAUGGACUCGCGGCUUAUCAGCUUGUUGGUGGGGUAGUGGCUUACCAAGGCUUUGGCGGGUAGCCGGCCUGAGAGGGCGACCGGCCACAUUGGGACUGAGAUACGGCACAGACUCCUACGGGAGGCAGCAGUGGGGAAUAUUGCACAAUGGGCGGAAGCCGGAUGCAGCAACGCCGCGUGCGGGAUGACGGCCUUCGGGUUGUAAACCGCUUUCAGCAGGGGCGAAGCUUGUGGUGACGGUACCUGCAGAAGAAGCACCGGCUAACUACGUG
rnacentral:rRNA from 1 species